GAUGAACGCUGGCGGCGUGCCUAAUACAUGCAAGUCGAGCGAACAGACGAGGAGCUUGCUCCUCUGACGUUAGCGGCGGACGGGUGUGUAACACGUGGAUAACCUACCUAUAAGACUGGGAUCACUUCGGGACACCGGCGCUAAUACCGGAUAAUCUAUUGAACCGCAUGGUUCAUUGGUGAAAGACGGCUUUGCUGUCACUUCUCGCUGGUUCCCCGCCGCAUUAGCUGGUUGGUAAGGUAACGGCCUACCAAGGGAACGAUGCGUAGCCGAGCUGUGAGAGUGAUAGGCCACAUGGGAGCUUGGACACGGACCAGGGUCCUACGGGAGGCAGCAGUAGGGAAUGGUCCGCAAUGGGGGAAAGCCUGACGGAGCGACGCCGCGUGAGUGAUGAAGGUCUUGGGAUCGUAAAACUCGGUUAUUAGGGAAGAACAAAUGUGUAAGUAACUAUGCACGGAGUGACGGUACCUAAUCAGAAAGCCACGGCUAACUACGUG
rnacentral:rRNA from 1 species